rnacentral:rRNA from 1 species
CAGCCGCCGCGGUAAUACAGAGGGUGCGAGCGUUAAUCGGAUUUACUGGGCGUAAAGCGUGCGUAGGCGGCUUCUUAAGUCGGAUGUGAAAUCCCUGAGCUUAACUUAGGAAUUGCAUUCGAUACUGGGAAGCUAGAGUAUGGGAGAGGAUGGUAGAAUUCCAGGUGUAGCGGUGAAAUGCGUAGAGAUCUGGAGGAAUACCGAUGGCGAAGGCAGCCAUCUGGCCUAAUACUGACGCUGAGGUACGAAAGCAUGGGGAGCAAACAGGAUUAGAUACCCGCGUAGUCCCUGUCUCUUAUAA